UACAGAGGGUGCGAGCGUUAAUCGGAAUUACUGGGCGUAAAGCGUGCGUAGACGGUUAUUUAAGUCGGAUGUGAAAGCCCCGGGCUCAACCUGGGAAUUGCAUUCGAGACUGAAUAGCUAGGGUGCGGUAGAGGGAAGCGGAAUUUCCGGUGUAGCGGUGAAAUGCGUAGAUAUCGGAAGGAACAUCAGUGGCGAAAGCGGUGCACUGGUUGGUUACCGACGCUGAGGUGCGAAAGCCAGGGGAGCAAACGGG
rnacentral:rRNA from 1 species